UUUAAACACUUAAUACAUUUUUAAAUCAAUCACUUUGUCUCUGCACAAUGAACAUUAUCAAAUAUUAUUAAUGUUGUAAAAUAUAUUGUUCAUUGUUAGUUCAUAUUAGCUAAGGCAUUACCAAAUGUUAAGGAAUAAACUCUUAUAGUAAAGUGUUACUAAAUUUUCUUUUACCAUUUCCUUCACAAUGUCUAUUUAUUUCUAUGGCUAACAGAUUUUGUAACAUUUGUCUUUUUUACAGUCUUACCAUUGCUUGUAAACUGGAUUGGGUAAGAUGGAUCAUCUUUAAAGGCACCAGGAGUUAAGGCAGAUGUGGAGGCACAACGGGUGAUACCAGACACACACCAAGCACAUUAUGUUCGGACAUUCAAUCAUGACAGGAUCCAGGUGGAUGCUGUCCAUUGAUGAAAGAGUUUGUUCAGCGGUUUCUGGAUAGAAUUAAUUCCAAAGAUGGGAAAAAGUGCACAUCCAGACAAGGAGCAAGCAAAAAGACAAGGAACUUGGUGCAGAGAAAAGCUGUGGCCAUUAACCCCCAUGUGAACAGCUUCAUGCAGUCCCUGAUUGAGUUCGAAUGGACGACUUCAAAGUAAAGGCCACUGUGGUCUGUCUGCCACAGUUUAAUGCAUUUAUUUUUAGUGUUAAAUGAAAUUUAAGUAGAAUAUUUAAAACUAUGGGCCAGUGUUCUUUUUACCACAGUGAAAUGUUACCUUUUAGUCGAUGAUGGACUUUAAACUGAAAACUUCAAACUAUGGAACAGUGUUCUAUUUGCCAGAGUUAAAUAUGUUACAGCAGGGGUCUCCAAACUUGUUUAUACUUGUUGAUUUUAUUUUAUGUUACUUGAUUAUAUGUUUAUUAUUG